GUCCACGCCGUAAACGAUGAGUGCUAAGUGUUAGAGGGUUUCCGCCCUUUAGUGCUGCAGCAAACGCAUUAAGCACUCCGCCUGGGGAGUACGGCCGCAAGGCUGAAACUCAAAGGAAUUGACGGGGGCCCGCACAAGCGGUGGAGCAUGUGGUUUAAUUCGAAGCAACGCGAAGAACCUUACCAGGUCUUGACAUCUCCUGACAAUCCUAGAGAUAGGACGUUCCCCUUCGGGGGACAGGAUGACAGGUGGUGCAUGGUU
rnacentral:rRNA from 1 species